rnacentral:lncRNA from 10 species
GGCAAAUGUUAACUCCAUCCCCCACCCACAGCCGGGUCUUGGUAGGGAGAGGGUGAAAUGAUGGACUAGGAGAGAUUUGGGUUCCUUGGACAGAUCUUGCCUUUUCCAGCAAGGUUGGGUUACAUGCCCUCUCUCUCUCAGCUCCUGGAAUUCCCCCUUGGCUUGCUACUGUUCUGAGAUGAAGUAAACUGGGUGAUUCUAAGAAUGGGCCUUGAGUCUGGCAAACCCAUCUGUUUCUUCCUAGCUAUGGGCCCCUGGCCCUCACCUCCCGCUUCUCAGUUUCUUCACCUGGAAAAUGAAGAUGACUAAGGAACCUGGGCCUUGGAAGGUUCUGGGAAUUCAGUGGAGUCAGGUAUGCCCGGGGCUGGCACAAAGGUGGGGCUCCAGAAGAGAUGCUAGCUGUGAAUAACAUGCCCGUCACUGCCUUCUGUUGUAACUGGCUGUGAAACGUCUGUCUUCUGCCAGACUAGGCUUCUAAGGCACGUUCUUCAUUUGUGUAUUAUCUACGGCCCAGUUCUUGCUGCAGCAGCGGAAUCGAGAAGCUGCGGGAGAGACCCCGCAGCCUGCAAAGCUGAAAAUAUUUACUUCCUGGCCAUUCACAGAAAAUGUUUGCCAACCCAUGACCUAAAGCAUCAUCUCUCAGAGGGUUGGGAAGGAACCUGGAAGCUGUCCCAUUCAGAGGCGGGAGCUUCAACGGGACCCUGCGUCUUCUGCCUCCAAGGCCUGUGGUAGGGGCUGUCACAGGCUGCAGAGGAGUCCAGGAGGGAGAUGCUACAGGUAAGGCAGGAGGAUGGAGAAGAGAGAACAGACUUGAACUAGACUUAGGGUCACACCAGCAGCUGUGAGCAGCUGACGAGUGUUCCAGUGCAAGGAGAGGAGGGUGCAAGAGCCAGGGAUUAUACACUGAUUAGCCUCCAUCACCGCAGAAAUUAUCUUGCCUGUGCAUGGUGCGAGGGUCUGGAACAUACAUUUAACCAAGGCAAGGAGCGAAGUGAGAGGAAGCAAUAUUGUGGAUUGCAGGAGGUGAUGGAUGAGAUGAGAGAAGAAUCUGCAUGGUCAGAAUCUGUUUGGCAUCGGAAGGGAAGUACCCAGGAAAUUUGAGGAUCGCCUCGUCCAGUUGUCUGUGGAACUGAACUGUGAGUUGUCCAUGAGGGAUGAAUGGCAAUGCCAAUGUUUCCAGAGUUUCUGUCAUGAGGUCUCCUGGCUUGGAGAUGGAGAGGGCACACACAGGUUUCGGAUUCAAGCCUGCAGGACAGUCCUGGCUGCACCACUCAGGAACCCUGGGUGAGUCUCUUUACCCCUCACAGCCUCAGUUUUCCCUUCCUGGAAAUGGGACCACAAUCCAAACCUUGUAGAACUGCUUCAAAGAUGAAAGGAGACAUCGCAUGUGAGAUGCCGGCCCAUAGGAGCCAGGGCACGAAAGGCAGCUCCGCAUUGGGUCCCCAAAAAGUCUCCGCAGGUUGGCAGCCAAGAGAGCUACCAUUUCUUUGUUUGGAGAGAUUCCACUCCCUGGAAAGGGUAAUCCUGCAGGAAAGGAGGAGGGAGUCGUUCCAGAGUUUGGGAGAUGUCGGCUUUGACUCUGAGUGAUGCCGCCUCAAACACUUACUGUCAUACAGGAAGUUACUCAAACACAAUCAAUUAGACACCCAUAUUAGCAUAUUUGUCAUUGUAAUACAGCCGCAGAGAGGAGAUGCUGGAGACUGUUUAUUGCUGUUCUGAGCUAAUAUUUAUUAAAGUGAUUAAUAUGUUUUUCAAAUAUCUGUGACAGGCGUGGCAGGAAUUACUGAUCUCCUCCCUCGAGAGCCUGAAAGGGUGAGGGGUGGGAGUCACUUAGAGAGGGGCGGCAGGUAGGGGCCUUGGGGCCUCAGGGGACCGUGUCCUCCUCUGGGGCCCCUUUCCUGCUCGGGCCUCCUGCCUUCCAUCUUCCCCUGUCUCCUCCACCUUCAACUUCCCCUGUCUCCUCUCCUCCACCUUCAACUUCCCCCUCUACUGACCGUUCCCAUCGGCAUUCUGAGACAUCUCCCACCAUGACAAAUAGAGACCUCCCAGGAUGCCCUGUCCCCCUGCUCCUUCCUGGACCCCCUCAUCCCCAGCCAUUCUGCCAUCUUCCUCCUUCCCUCCAUAGCCAAACUCUUCAAAAGAACUCUUUUCCCUCCCUACCUCCUUUGCUCAUCUUCCAGUCUCUGCUUUUUAAAAAUCAUUACAAAAAAUUAAAAGUGGCUGGGCGCGGUGGCUCACACCUGUAAUCCCAGUACUUUUGGAGGCCAAGGCGGGAGGGAAUAACCUGAGGUCAGGAGUUCGAGACCAGCCUGGCCAACAUGGUGAAACCCUGUCUCUAUUAAAAAUACAAAAAUUAGCAGGGUGUGGUAGCUGGUGCCUGUAAUCCCAGCUACUCAGGAGGCUGAGGCAGGAGAAUUGCUUGAACCUGGGAGGCAGAGGUUGCAGUGAGCCAAGAUCACACCAUUGCACUCCAGCCUGGGUGACAAGGGUGAAACUCCAUCUCAAAAAAAAAAAAAAAUUUAAAAGCAGCAUCCAGGAUGCUCUAGAACAGCAACACCCAAAAAAACUUUCUGCAGUCAUGGAAACAUUCUAUGUCUGCAUUGUCCAAUACAGAAACUGCCAACUGCAUGUGGCUUUUGAGCUCUUGAAAUGUGGCUAGUACAACUGAGGAAUCAGAAUUUUUUUUUUUUUUUUUUUUUGAGACGGAGUCUCACUCUGUUGCCCAGGCUGGAGUACAGUGGCGCGAUCUCGGCUCACUGCAAGCUCCACCUCCCGGGUUCAAGCAAUUCUCCUGCCUCAGCUUCCCGAGUAGCUGGGACUACAGGAGCCUGCCACCAUGCCCGGCUAAUUUUUUUUGUAUUUUUAGUAGAGACGGGGUUUCACCAUGUUAGCCAGGAUGCUCUCGAUCUCCUGACCUCGUGAUACAUCAGGCUCAGCCUCCCUUUUUUUUUUUUUUUUUUUUUUUUUUUGAGACCCAGCCUUGCUCUGCCAUCCAGGUUGGAGUGCAGUGAUACAAUCAGGACUCACUGCAGCCCGGACCUCCUGGGCUCAGGUGAUCCUCCUACCUCACCCUCCCAGGUAGGUGGAACCACACGCAUACGCACCACACCUGGGUAAUUUUUGUAUUUUUUUUGUAGAGAUGGGGUUUCACCAUGUUGUCCAGGCUGGAGGAACCAGAUUUGUAAUGUUAUUUAAUUUUAAUGAAUUUAUAUCUAGAUUUAAGUAGCCAUGUAUGGCUCUAAAGGAUUAUACAGUGGGUCUGUGGAUCCCCAACACCCACUAGCAUUAUCAAAUAUCUACACUUUGUCAUAUAGGUUUCAGGAUUUUUAAAGUAACAAAACCUUACAGACCUGUUUCCUUUUUUUUUCUCUACUGAUGUAAUUACUAUCUUAAAGUUGGUCUUUAUCUUUUCCACUCAUGUUUGUAUACUGUUACUAGGUAAGAAUGUGUCCACAAGCAAUAUAUAGUAUUAUUUUUCACAUUUUAGUAACUUACAUGCAUAGUAACCUAUUUUAUGCAUCAUUUUGCAAUUUUUUUCUUUUUGGCUAAGCUUUGUUUUCCCAAUUAACACAGAACUAGCUCAUUUUCACCAUCGUGUAAUAUUCUACUAUAAGAGCAUGUUUCAGUGUAUCUCUCCUCCUUCUAUUGGGGAACUUGUGUUACUUAAUGCUGCAGUGAACAUCUUUGAACAUGUCACUUAGAGCAAUGGGUUAACAUUUCUGAAACCUAUUCACCAAGAAAUAGAAUUGCUGUGUCAGGUUGCACAGCUUUAACUUUACUAGCUGCCCCAAGAUGGCUCUACAACAUGGCUGUGCCAAUAUACCCUCCAACCAAUGCCAGAGAAGAGGCCCUGCUUCCCCACAGGCUCAUUGAUGCUUGGUAUUCUCAAGUUUUAAAUUUCUGUCAAACAGAUGGGUAGGAUGGUGUGGUUGUUUUCAUUUGCGUUCCCCGUUUAUCAGUGAAUUUAAACAUCUUUCAUAAUUAUUGGCCAUGUGAAUUUUCUCUUUUGAGAACUGUCUGGUCAUGCUCAUUUCCUAUUUGCCUAUUCGGAAGUUAGUGUCAUUGAUUUGUCAGAGCUCUUUACAUAUUAUGGAUUCAAUCCUUUUUCAGUUAUAUGUGUUCAGGUAUCUUUUCUGAGUCUUGCCUUCUCUUUUAACUUAUUCAGGAUGAGUUACUUUGAAAAUAAGGUUUUAAUUUUAAGGUAGUCAAUGUGUCAAUAUUUUUCUUUAAUUUUUUUUUGUACUAUGAAUAAGGAAACUUCUCUUACCCCAGGGUUAUAAAGACAUCCUAUAUUUCCAUAUAGAACUUUCCAAGUUUUCCUUUUUGUAUUUAGAUCUUUAAUGAAUCUUGAGACUAUUUGUUUGUGUGUAUGUGUGCUGUAUGAAUUUGGAAUCUAACAUAAUAUUGUUUAUAUAAUAUAAGGCAAGACUAGAAAAAGGUAUUGUUUAUGUAAUGUAAGGCAAGACUAGAAAAAGAUAUCUGAACACAUAAAACUGAGACAGGAUUGAAUCCAUAAUAUGUAAAGAGCUCUGGCAAAUCGGUAAGACACUAACUUCCCAGUAGGCAAAUAAGCAAUGAGCAUAACCAGACAGACAGUUCCUGAAAGAGAACAUCCAAAUGGCCAGUAAUCAUUAGUUGUCUAUGCUGAUGGCAAAUUACCAUAAUUGGUGGAUUAAAACAACACACACACGUUUAUUAUCCCAGUUUCUGUGGGUCAGGAGCCUGGCACAGCUUAGCUGGAGCCUCGCUUAUGGUGUCACAAUGCAACAAUCAAGGUGUUGGCUGGAGCUGGGUUCUCAUCAGAGGCUUGACUAGGGAAGGAUCCUCUUUCAAGCUCCUCAGCUUGUUCACAGAGUUCAUUCCCUUGCAGCUGUAUGAUCCAUGAAAGUUUAUUUCUUUAAAACUAGUAAUGAGAAAAUAAAGAUCAACAGAAAAAAAACAGACUAUAAUAAUGUAACAUAAUAAAUGCAGUGACAGCCAUUCCCUUUGCCAUGUUUUAUUGGAUAGAAGCAGGUCACAGGUCCCGCCUACACUCAAGGGAAGGGGAUCAUACAAGGGCGUGAAUACCGGGAGACAGGAAUCAUGGUGGCCACCUCGAAGACUGCCUGCCACAGUGCGCGUACUGAUCAUCAUCUUCCAGCAUUCUUUUUAGAUGGUCCACCCCUUCCUCACCAAAUGGCAAUGCAUCCUCCACCACGUACGAAGUUUCCAUAGGCACAGAGGUCUGUUCUGGCCUCCUUUGUUAUUGCUGUUGUUCCAGUGGUCUUCCUGCCCCUACCGCCCUCUAAAUAUGCUCCAGUUUGGGGUCACCAAUGCCCACCAUAUUGCUAAAUUCCAUUAAGUCUUUUCAGUCUCACCCUACUAGACCCUCAGGGGUAUCCGGCACCAUGGACAUCUCCUUCCCUCUUCAAUCAUUCUCCCCAGACUUGAGGCUCCUCAUCCAGGGUCUCCUAUGCCAGGUGCCCCUCCUGCCUGAUGUGGGCAUCCCCCAGGUUCACUGCCUGGGUGAUCUCAUCUGCUCCUGGGACCAAAUCCCACCUUCGGGUUAAGGAUGCUCAAUGACCACCCCAGGCUGGAGCCUCCUGGAGCUCCAAGAAUGUGCAGCCGAUGGCCCUUCAGACUCCACCUGGAAGACCUCUGCUCACCUCUGACUCAAUGUGCCCACACUGAUUUCCCAAUUCCACUCUCCCCUCUAGAGGACUCCCUUCCCCGUCAUCAUUGCUGCCUCCAUGGAUGGAUGGAAUGGAUGUUGAAAUCCAUGGUGGGCUGGACUGCCUCCUUCUGUCUUCGCUGCCACCCUGCCCGAGCCACCGUCACCUCUCACCUGGGUGUCUCCAGUAGCUUUCCAACUUCCACUCCUGCCCCCUGCAGUCAAUUCUCCACAUGGUGGUCAGGGUAAUAGUUGUAAAAACAUAAAUCAUUUCACAUCAUCCCCCUACUUAAAAUCCUUUCUGUGGCUUCCCACUGCUUUUGGAAUAGGAUCCAGAUUCCUCAGCGUGCUCUCGGUCACAGGGGGCCACCUCCUCUGCAACUCCAUCCAUCACCACCCUCCCCCAACAUGCGCCUCCCCCCCUCACUGGACCCCGGAGAUUAUCUGAUUAUUUCUCUAAGUGG